rnacentral:rRNA from 1 species
AACGAACGCUGGCGGCAUGCCUAACACAUGCAAGUCGAACGAGACCUUCGGGUCUAGUGGCGCACGGGUGCGUAACGCGUGGGAACCUGCCCUUAGGUUCGGAAUAACUCCCCGAAAGGGGUGCUAAUACCGGAUAAUGUCUUCGGACCAAAGAUUUAUCGCCUUUGGAUGGGCCCGCGUUGGAUUAGCUAGUUGGUAGGGUAAAAGCCUACCAAGGCGACGAUCCAUAGCUGGUCAGAGAGGAUGAUCAGCCACACUGGGACUGAGACACGGCCCAGACUCGUACGGGAGGCAGCAGUGGGGAAUAUUGGACAAUGGGCGAAAGCCUGAUCCAGCAAUGCCGCGUGAGUGAUGAAGGCCUUAGGGUUGUAAAGCUCUUUUACCCGGGAUGAUAAUGACAGUACCGGGAGAAUAAGCACCGGCUAACUCCGUG